AUCAGCCACCCCACCCCCAGCUCCCUCUAAGCCAAAAUAUGAUCUCAAGUAUGGCAGCGAGUGCUUGAUCCCUGCAGGAAGAGCGAGUUGGUGAAAAUCCUGCCUGGCUGGAUCAAGGUUAAGAGGAUGAGGAAAUCCAAGCUCAGAAUGGAUAAUUCACCUAAGGAAAUACAGAUGGAAAAUGGCAGAGCUGCAAUCUAAACCCAGGUCCAUCUGAUAAUAAAGCCCAGGCUCUCCUCAACCAACUUCAGAUCUAGGAUGCUUCCAGUGAGACUCCGUGCUCCCUCCCUGUGUGGUUCCCAUGGCCUUUCUUUACCUCAAGAAAAUGCAGAGUGAAAAGCAAUGGUAGCAGAAGUUUCUAGAAGUUACUUAUAUGGCAAGUGCAAGUAUUUCAGAACACAUUUGAGAUUCAGGAAGGAGGCAAAAAGGCUUCUGCUGAGCAGUCAAAAUGACGAAGUUUGUAAACUUCACUUUAUUUGGGUCCCUGCUGAAAGUCUACCUACUCUUUAAAAACAAUAACAACAACAAAAAAUGGGAACACACUAUUAACGCUGUUCUGCACAUGUAUUUUUCAAUUAACAAUUGGUGAGUAUUCCCUUUUAGCGCACAUAGAUCUACCUCAUUCAUUUAAGGGCUCUGUAGUGCUGCAUUGUGUGAAUGCACCAAAUGUGUAUUUAUCCUGCAUUCUCUAGGUGGACAUUUUAGACACUUACAAGGGUUGGGGCUCAGAAAGUGAUAUCCCAAAGGCUGAUGUUUUGACAUGCUGAGGGCCCUCAGAAGCCGCCCCCGAACCAAGGUCCCUCUAACUUCUUGUUCCCCAUACCUGCCCCACCACCAAACACAGGGAGGGACUGUCUGUCUUUGGAAAUUUCCUCAUCUGACCAAGAAAGCAUCUUUCCAAAAGAAAUGCAAUUGUCUUAAACACCCUCCCUAGAGGUCUCAUCAAAUAACCAAGAAAGAUAAACCACCAGAAGAGAUGAGACUGGGAAUCAUCACCACACCCAGACAGACUUCAUCUAUUCUUCUGAGAGCAGCUCCAAGAGAUUGCCUGGAGGACUUUAUCUGCUUAAUAAGACAAGCUUUGUUCCUGUACAGCUCCGCCCCUCACCUUCCUGUAAUAUCUGCCUCCCACCUCCCCAGUCCAUACAUCUCCUCCCUCCUGUAUGAAAAAGGGUAUACAAGCUUCUGUGCCCCAUUGGGUUAUUGGGAAAUCAUUCUCCUGUGAUUCCCCUGUGCCAUGCACACUAAAAUAAAAUUUUGUAUGCCUUUUCUCCUAUCGAUCUGCCUUUGG
rnacentral:lncRNA from 10 species